GUGCAGCAGGCGCGUAAUUUUUCACAAGUGGGGGAAACCCUGAUGGAGCGACGCCGCGUGGAGGAUGAAGGCGUUUUCGUCGUAAACUCCUGUCAAACGGGAACAAGAAAGUGAUAGUACCGUUAGAGGAAGAGACGGCUAACUCUGUGCCAGCAGCCGCGGUAAUACAGAGGUCUCAAGCGUUGUUCGGAUUCAUUGGGCGUAAAGGGUGCGUAGGUGGCAUGGUAAGUUGAAGGUGAAAUCUCGGGGCUCAACCUCGAAACUGCCUUCAAUACUGCUGUGCUCGAGGACUGUAGAGGAGAUUGGAAUUCACGGUGUAGCAGUGAAAUGCGUAGAUAUCGUGAGGAAGACCAGUGGCGAAAGGCGAUUCUCUGGGCAGUUCCCUGACACUGAGGCACGAAGGCGUAGGGAG
rnacentral:rRNA from 1 species